UUCGGGUUGGCGCAACGGUAGCGCGCAAGGCUCAUAUCGAUCUCGUUGAGAGUUCGAAGAUACCUUGAUGUAGCUGGAUCGACACCAGCACUCGAAA